rnacentral:misc_RNA from 1 species
GGAAAAAAGUCGUAACAAGGUUUCCGUAGGUGAACCUGCGGAAGGAUCAUUAAAGUUAUAGUCCCCCGGCCCUCUGGGCUGGGGUCUUCUAUACCACCCUUUGUUUAUUACACCUUUGUUGCUUUGGCAGGCCUGCCCUCGGGCUGCUGGCUCCGGCCGGCUCGCGUCUGCCAGAGGACCUAAACUCUGUUUGUAUAUGAAGUCUGAGUACUAUAUAAUAGUUAAAACUUUCAACAACGGAUCUCUUGGUUCUG